rnacentral:rRNA from 1 species
AUACGUAGGGGGCGAGCGUUGCCCGGAAUGAUUGGGCGUAAAGGGCGCGUAGGCGGCGCGGUAAGUCUGGAGUGAAAGUCCUGCUGUCAAGGUGGGAAUUGCUUUGGAUACUGCCGCGCUUGAGUGCAGGAGAGGUUAUCGGAAUUCCCGGUGUAGCGGUGAAAUGCGUAGAGAUCGGGAGGAACACCAGUGGCGAAGGCGGGUAACUGGACUGCAACUGACGCUGAGGCGCGAAAGUGUGGGGAGCAAACAGGAUUAGAUACCCUGGUAGUCCACACUGUAAACGAUGAAUGCUAGGUGUAAGAGGUAUCGACCCCUUUUGUGCCGGAGUCAACACAAUAAGCAUUCCGCCUGGGGAGUACGGCCGCAAGGUUGAAACUCAAAUGAAUUGACGGGG